rnacentral:rRNA from 1 species
GGCCCCGCACAAGCAGCGGAGCGUGUGGUUUAAUUCGAUGUUACACGAAGAACCUUACCUGGGUUUGACAUGUACGUGGUAGGGAAGCGAAAGCGGACCGACCCUUCGGGGAGCGUACACAGGUGCUGCAUGGCUGUCGUCAGCUCGUGCCGUGAGGUGUCGGGUUAAGUCCCGUAACGAGCGCAACCCCUGUCCUUAGUUACAAGUGUCUAAGGGGACUGCCGGCGGUAAGCCGGAGGAAGGUGGGGAUGACGUCAAGUCAGCAUGGCCCUUAUGUCCAGGGCUACACACACGCUACAAUGGCCAGUACAACGGGCAGCGAAACCGCGAGGUGGAGCGAAUCUCAGCAAAGCUGGUCAUAGUUCGGAUUGCAGGCUGCAACUCGCCUGCAUGAAGCUGGAGUUGCUAGUAACCGCGCGUCAGCUAUAGUGCGGUGAAUACGUUCCCGGGGCUU